UACGAAGGGGGCUAGCGUUGUUCGGAAUUACUGGGCGUAAAGCGUGCGCAGGCGGUUGUGCAAGACAGAUGUGAAAUCCCCGGGCUCAACCUGGGAACUGCAUUUGUGACUGCACGGCUAGAGUGUGUCAGAGGGGGGUAGAAUUCCACGUGUAGCAGUGAAAUGCGUAGAUAUGUGGAGGAAUACCGAUGGCGUAGGCAGCCCCCUGGGAUAACACUGACGCUCAUGCACGAAAGCGUGGGGAGCAAACAGG
rnacentral:rRNA from 1 species